GACGAACGCUGGCGGCGUGCUUAACACAUGCAAGUCAAGGGGACCCGCAAGGGUAACCGGCGAACGGGUGCGUAACACGUGAGCAACCUACCGAGAUCUGGGGGGAUAGCCGGCCCAACGGCCGGGUAAUACCGCAUACGCUCUUUCCACGGCAUUGUGGAUUGAGGAAACCUCCGGGGGAUUUCGAGGGGCUCGCGGCCUAUCAGCUAGUUGGCGAGGUCACGGCUCACCAAGGCGACGACGGGUAGCUGGUCUGAGAGGAUGGCCAGCCACAUUGGGACUGAGACACGGCCCAGACUCCUACGGGAGGCAGCAGUGGGGAAUCUUGCGCAAUGCGCGAAAGCGUGACGCAGCAACGCCGCGU
rnacentral:rRNA from 1 species